UACGAAGGGGGCUAGCGUUGCUCGGAAUCACUGGGCGUAAAGGGUGCGUAGGCGGGUCUUUAAGUCAGGGGUGAAAUCCUGGAGCUCAACUCCAGAACUGCCUUUGAUACUGAAGAUCUUGAGUUCGGGAGAGGUAAGUGGAACUGCGAGUGUAGAGGUGAAAUUCGUAGAUAUUCGCAAGAACACCAGUGGCGAAGGCGGCUCACUGGCCCGAUACUGACGCUGAGGCACGAAAGCGUGGGGAGCAA
rnacentral:rRNA from 1 species